AGUCGAACGAUUAAAGCUCUCUUCGGAGAGUGUAUAGAGUGGCGCACGGGUGAGUAACACGUAAGUAAUCUACCCUCGAGUGGGGAAUAACGUUCGGAAACGAACGCUAAUACCGCAUAAUGCAGCGGCAUCGCAAGAUGACAGUUGUUAAAGGAGUAAUUCGCUUGAGGAGGAGCUUGCGGCAGAUUAGCUUGUUGGUAAGGUAACGGCUUACCAAGGCUACGAUCUGUAUCCGGUCUAAGAGGACGGUCGGACACACUGACACUGAAUAACGGGUCAGACUCCUACGGGAGGCAGCAGUCGGGAAUUUUGGGCAAUGGGCGAAAGCCUGACCCAGCAACGCCGCGUGAAGGAUGAAGUAUUUCGGUAUGUAAACUUCGAAAGAAUGGGAAGAAUAAAUGACGGUACCAUUUAUAAGCUCCGGCUAACUACGUGCCAGCAGCCGCGGUAAUACGUAGGGAGCAAGCGUUGUUCGGAUUUACUGGGCGUAAAGGGCGCGUAGGCGGCGCGGUAAGUCACUUGUGAAAUCUCUGAGCUUAACUCAGAACGGCCAAGUGAUACUGCAGUGCUAGAGUGCAGAAGGGGCAAUCGGAAUUCUUGGUGUAGCGGUGAAAUGCGUAGAUAUCAAGAGGAACACCUGAGGUGAAGACGGGUUGCUGGGCUGACACUGACGCUGAGGCGCGAAAGCCAGGGGAGCAAACGGGAUUAGAUACCCCGGUAGUCCUGGCCCUAAACGAUGAAUACUUGGUGUCUGGAGUUUCAAGACUUCGGGUGCCGUCGCUAACGUUUUAAGUAUUCCGCCUGGGGAGUACGCUCGCA
rnacentral:rRNA from 1 species